GCGCUCGCUUCGGCAGCACAGACACUAAAAUUGGAACAAUACGGAGGCUAGCAUGGCCCCUGUGCGAGGAUGACACGCU
ensembl:snRNA U6 U6 spliceosomal RNA